GGUGUCUUCCUGCCAGCUGACUCCAGUCUGCCAGGGGGUUGCUGACUGACUUCCCCAGUUUUUAUUAAGCCAAGACAACCCACAAGCAAGCGGGCUGGGAUCUGGGGACUCCGUGUCCUGUGAGACGCCCGGAUGGGGAGGCUGGGCUCCAGCGUGCUGCCUUUCUGGCCGGGGUGACGAGCGGAGAGCAUGGCCCCUGGGUCUCCUGGCCGUCAGGUCCACAGGAGGCCGACAGAGCAGCCCCGAAUCACCUCCACUUCUCCACAGCCAGCUCCAAACACGGCAGCUCCCACCCCAGGAUUUGUUCUUGUUUGCUAUAACAAACACCGCGGGAGCCGACCAACAAACCUGUCUCUUCAGAAGAGCCUGGAGUGGCUAGGAGAAAUGGACACCUGGGCAGCUGGACAUUGGGGAAUUUUCUCUUUAAACAAAUCACCUCAAUUUUGCAGUUAUUUGUAUGUGAUACCAACGAACACACAGGAGUGAACACACUUACCUGGAUUACAAGUCUAUGCAGAGACUCAGGAAGCUACCAAGCCCAGAGGUGGACAGCCCUGCCUUCAAGGAAUUUACCAUUUAACAGGGAAGACAAAUAGGCAAAAAAAUAUUUUUUUCCACUGUCAUUUGAUAUGUGCCCACCCCACCCCCAGCUAAGAGCAUUUCAGCUUACUUUUACCACCCACAAGGUAGUCAAGG
ensembl:lncRNA